UGCCUUACACAUGCAAGUCGAGCGGCAGCGCGGGGGCAACCCUGGCGGCGAGCGGCGAACGGGUGAGUAAUACAUCGGAACGUGUCCAGUAGCGGGGGAUAACCAGUCGAAAGAUUGGCUAAUACCGCAUACGACCUACGGGUGAAAGCGGGGGACCGCAAGGCCUCGCACUAUUGGAGCGGCCGAUGUCCGAUUAGCUAGUUGGUGGGGUAAAGGCCCACCAAGGCGACGAUCGGUAGCUGGUCUGAGAGGAUGAUCAGCCACACUGGAACUGAGACACGGUCCAGACUCCUACGGGAGGCAGCAGUGGGGAAUUUUGGACAAUGGGCGCAAGCCUGAUCCAGCCAUGCCGCGUGAGUGAAGAAGGCCUUCGGGUUGUAAAGCUC
rnacentral:rRNA from 1 species